rnacentral:rRNA from 1 species
GCAAGUCGAGCGGUAGAAUUAUUAUUGAAUCUUCGGAUGAUUUAAUAAUUUGAGAGCGGCGAACGGGUGAGUAACACGUUGGUAUCUGCCCCCAAGUCAGGGAUAGCCAUUGGAAACGAUGAUUAAUACCGGAUAGUCUCUUCGGAGUAAAGAUUUAUUGCUUGGGGAGGAACCUGCGUUCUAUCAGCUAGUUGGUGAGGUAAAAGCUCACCAAGGCUAUGACGGAUACCUGGUCUGAGAGGAUGAUCAGGCACAAUGGAAUUGAGACACGGUCCAUACUCCUACGGGAGGCAGCAGUGAGGAAUCUUCCACAAUGGGCGAAAGCCUGAUGGAGCGACACCGCGUGAAGGAUGAAGGCCUAACGGUUGUAAACUUCUUUUCUGAAGGAGCAUAAUGAGAGUACUUCAGGAAUAAGGGACGGCUAAAUACGUGCCAGCAGCUGCGGUAAUACGUAUGUCUCGAGCGUUACCCGGAAUCACUGGGUGUAAGGGGUUUGUAGGCGGCUUGUUAAGUUGGAUAUGAAAGACCGGAGCUCAACUCCGAGUUU